rnacentral:rRNA from 1 species
UGCAAGUCGAACGGAACUGUUUUGAAAGAUUUCUUCGGAAUGAAUUUGAUUUAGUUUAGUGGCGGACGGGUGAGUAACGCGUGAGUAACCUGCCUUCAAGAGGGGGAUAACAUUCUGAAAAGAAUGCUAAUACCGCAUGACAUAUCGGAACCACAUGGUUUUGAUAUCAAAGAUUUUAUCGCUUGAAGGUGGACUCGCGUCCGAUUAGUUAGUUGGUGAGGUAACGGCUCACCAAGACCGCGAUCGGUAGCCGGACUGAGAGGUUGAACGGCCACAUUGGGACUGAGACACGGCCCAGACUCCUACGGGAGGCAGCAGUGGGGGAUAUUGCGCAAUGGGGGCAACCCUGACGCAGCAACGCCGCGUGAAGGAUGAAGGUUUUCGGAUUGUAAACUUCUUUUAUUAAGGACGAAAAAUGACGGUACUUAAUGAAUAAGCUCCGGCUAACUACGUGCCAGCAGCCGCGGUAAUACGUAGGGAGCAAGCGUUGUCCGGAUUUACUGGGUGUAAAGGGUGCGUAGGCGGCUUUGCAAGUCAGAUGUGAAAUCUAUGGGCUCAACCCAUAAACUGCAUUUGAAACUGUAGAGCUUGAGUGAAGUAGAGGCAGGCGGAAUUCCCCGUGUAGCGGUGAAAUGCGUAGAGAUGGGGAGGAACACCAGUGGCGAAGGCGGCCUGCUGGGCUUUAACUGACGCUGAGGCACGAAAGCGUGGGUAGCAAACAGGAUUAGAUACCCUGG